UGAAUGCUUCUCCAGGUUCAGACACUGUGAUCUCAGUGUUAUUUAAUUUAAUCUUCAAACCACCCAUGGGUUUAAGAAUGAUUCUUUCCAUUUUACAGAAAUUGAAGGGCAGAGCAGUUAAAGGAACUUGACCACAACAAAAUACAUCAGAAAAGCGAUGAAAGAUCAAGGAGGAUGCAGACCACAUCACGCUGAGACCUCGACAGCCCGCGGAGACCCACUGAACCAGGACCGACGCUGGGCUAGAGGCCCAAAUCUGCCCCAAGACCACUCUGAAGAGGAAGUCAUCACUGAGUGACUAAAUGCCUCUGGGUUCAUGUCCAUGAACAGAGCCUCUGUCCUACGGUGGGAAGAUGGAGUGGCAGGGAGGCACAUGGGCACCUGCCGGGCACCAGGGUCAUCCAAACCCACCAGCUCAGCCACCUCCCCAGCCCUCCCCUGGGGCCCACACAGUUGGCUUGUUAGAAAUAAAAUGCAGAUUUUUACUCUUUUCAAUUUCUCCUUUUAAAAUUCAAAUAUCCACUGACAUAGUCGCUCCACAUACUACAGAAAAACAGGGCAAACAGCCCCGGAGAUGUGAGCUGGGGCCCGUGUCACCCCAGUGAAGCAGGGGGCGGCCAGGCC
ensembl:lncRNA